GACGUAGGGCGCGAGCGUUUGUCCGGAUUUAUUGGGCGUAAAGAGCUCGUAGGCGGCUGCUCAAGUCGAAUGUGAAAACUCGAGGCUCAACCUCGAGCCUGCAUUCGAUACGGGCAGACUAGAGUUCGGUAGGGGAGUCUGGAAUUCCUGGUGUAGCGGUGAAAUGCGCAGAUAUCAGGAGGAACACCGGUGGCGAAGGCGGGACUCUGGGCCGAAUGACUGACGUGGAGGAGCGAAGGCGUGGGG
rnacentral:rRNA from 1 species